AUGAGCAGGGUGUGCGUCACCGGAGCUGCAGGCUACAUCGCGUCCUGGCUCGUCAAGAAGCUCCUCGACAGAGGCUGCACCGUCCAUGGGACCGUACGAAACCUCGGGGAUGAGAAGAAGACGGAGCUGCUGAGGGGGCUCCCCGGCGCGGCGGAGCGGCUGGUGCUGUUCGAGGCGGACAUCUAUGACGCUGCCUCAUUCGAGCCGGCCAUCCAAGGCUGCGAGUUCGUCUUCCUCGUCGCCACCCCGCUGCAGCACAACUCCGGCAGCUCCAAGUACAAGGACACCACCGAAGCGACAUUGGACGCGACGCGCACCAUCCUGCAGCAGUGCGAGCGGUCCAAGACGGUGAAGCGUGUCAUCCACACGGGCUCCGUUGUCACAGCCUCGCCGCUCCGGGAGGACGGCGACGGGUACAAAGAGUUCGUGAACGAAUCCUGCUGGACCCCACUCGGCCUGUCCUGCGACCACAGCAACGAAUACAUGGACGCUUAUGUAUCCUCGAAGACCAUCUCUGAGGAGGAAUUACUCAAGUACAACGAUGACUUCUUCGAGGGUAGAGCGUUCGACGUUGUUGUCUUGGUAUGCGGCCUCGUAGGAGGAGACACCAUCCUGCCGUACAUCAGUGAUAGCCUCCAUGUCAUGUUGUCGCCUCUAACCGGCAUCGAGAUCUAUCACAACUCCCUCAAGUUCCUACAGGCCCUCCUCGGCUCCGUACCACUGGUGCAUGUCGAUGACGUCUGCGAGGCACAUGUCUUCUGCAUGGAGAAGUCGUCUGAUGUUGUUGGUGGCCGAUACCUUUGCACCACCGCGCACACCAACAUGCAUGACAUCUUGGAGCACUACGCCCGCAUGCACCCCGAACUCGAGCGGAUCAAAGAAGUGGUGGGAGAGGGAUUGAGAGUGCAGGCUAACACAAACAAACUUGUGGAGCUGGGAUUCAAGUAUAAGUAUGGAGCAGAGGAGGUGCUUGAUGGAAGCGUGGAUUGCGGGAAGAGGUUAGGAUUGUUGUAA
rnacentral:rRNA from 1 species